rnacentral:rRNA from 1 species
UUGGAGGGCAAGUCUGGUGCCAGCAGCCGCGGUAAUUCCAGCUCCAAUAGCGUAUAUUAAAGUUGUUGCAGUUAAAAAGCUCGUAGUUGAAUUUCGGGAUUGACGUGACGGUCAUGCCUUAAGGGGUAUGAACUGUUACUGUUGAUUUCUCACCUUCUGGAGAAACUUGAUGUCCUUUAUUGGGUGUCUUGCGGAUCCAGGACCUUUACCUUGAAAAAAUUAGAGUGUUUAAAGCAGGCAUUUUUGCUCGAAUACAUUAGCAUGGAAUAAUAGAAUAGGACGGCAUGGUUCUAUUUUGUUGGUUUCUAGGAUCACCGUAAUGAUUAAUAGGGAUAGUUGGGGGCAUUAGUAUUCAAUUGUCAGAGGUGAAAUUCUUGGAUUUAUUGAAGACUAACUACUGCGAAAGCAUUUGCCAAGGAUGUUUUCAUUAAUCAAGAACGAAAGUUAGGGGAUCGAAGACGAUCAGAUACCGUCGUAGUCUUAACCAUAAACUAUGCCGACUAGGAAUCAGACGAUGUUAAUUUUUUAAUGACUCGUUUGGCACCUUACGGGAAACCAAAGUGUUUGGGUUC